rnacentral:rRNA from 1 species
UAUGGGGGGCCUAAUACAUGCAAGUCGAACGCACUCUCGUUAGAUUGAAGAAGCUUGCUUCUGAUUGAUAACAUUUGAGUGAGUGGCGGACGGGUGAGUAACACGUGGGUAACCUGCCCUAAAGUGGGGGAUAACAUUUGGAAACAGAUGCUAAUACCGCAUAAAACCUAGCACCGCAUGGUGCAAGGUUGAAAGAUGGUUUCGGCUAUCACUUUAGGAUGGACCCGCGGUGCAUUAGUUAGUUGGUGAGGUAAAGGCUCACCAAGACCGUGAUGCAUAGCCGACCUGAGAGGGUAAUCGGCCACACUGGGACUGAGACACGGCCCAGACUCCUACGGGAGGCAGCAGUAGGGAAUCUUCCACAAUGGACGAAAGUCUGAUGGAGCAACGCCGCGUGAGUGAAGAAGGUUUUCGGAUCGUAAAACUCUGUUGUUGGAGAAGAACGUAUUUGAUAGUAACUGAUCAGGUAGUGACGGUAUCCAACCAGAAAGCCACGGCUAACUACGUGCCAGCAGCCGCGGUAAUACGUAGGUGGCAAGCGUUGUCCGGAUUUAUUGGGCGUAAAGCGAGCGCAGGCGGUUUCUUAAGUCUGAUGUGAAAGCCUUCGGCUCAACCGAAGAAGUGCAUCGGAAACUGGGAAACUUGAGUGCAGAAGAGGACAGUGGAACUCCAUGUGUAGCGGUGAAAUGCGUAGAUAUAUGGAAGAACACCAGUGGCGAAGGCGGCUGUCUGGUCUGUAACUGACGCUGAGGCUCGAAAGCAUGGGUAGCAAACAGGAUUAGAUACCCUGGUAGUCCAUGCCGUAAACGAUGAGUGCUAGGUGUUGGAGGGUUUCCGCUCUUCAGUGCCGCAGCUAACGCAUUAAGCACUCCGCCUGGGGAGUACGACCGCAAGGUUGAAACUCAGAGGAAUUGACGGGGGCCCGCACAAGCGGUGGAGCAUGUGGUUUAAUUCGAAGCAACGCGAAGAACCUUACCAGGUCUUGACAUCCUUUGACCACUCUAGAGAUAGAGCUUUCCCUUCG